GGCGAAAGCCUGAUGGAGCAACGCCGCGUGUGUGAUGAAGGGUUUCGGCUCGUAAAACACAGAAAGGAACGGCUAAAUACGUGCCAGCAGCCGCGGUAAUACGUAUGUUCCAAGCGUUAUCCGGAUUUAUUGGGCGUAAAGCGAGCGCAGACGGUUAUUUAAGUCUGAAGUGAAAGCCCUCAGCUCAACUGAGGAAUUGCUUUGGAAACUGGAUGACUUGAGUGCAGUAGAGGAAAGUGGAACUCCAUGUGUAGCGGUGAAAUGCGUAGAUAUAUGGAAGAACACCAGUGGCGAAGGCGGCUUUCUGGACUGUAACUGACGUUGAGGCUCGAAAGUGUGGGUAGCAAACAGGAUUAGAUACCCUGGUAGUCCACACCGUAAACGAUGAGUGCUAGGUGUUUGAGGGUUUCCGCCCUUAAGUGCCGCAGCUAACGCAUUAAGCACUCCGCCUGGGGAGUACGACCGCAAGGUUGAAACUCAAAGGAAUUGACGG
rnacentral:rRNA from 1 species